rnacentral:rRNA from 1 species
GACGAACGCUGGCGGCGUGCUUAACACAUGCAAGUCGAACGGAAAGGCCCUGCUUUUGUGGGGUGCUCGAGUGGCGAACGGGUGAGUAACACGUGAGUAACCUGCCCUUGACUUUGGGAUAACUUCAGGAAACUGGGGCUAAUACCGGAUAGGAGCUCCUGCUGCAUGGUGGGGGUUGGAAAGUUUCGGCGGUUGGGGAUGGACUCGCGGCUUAUCAGCUUGUUGGUGGGGUAGUGGCUUACCAAGGCUUUGACGGGUAGCCGGCCUGAGAGGGUGACCGGCCACAUUGGGACUGAGAUACGGCCCAGACUCCUACGGGCGGCAGCAGUGGGGAAUAUUGCACAAUGGGCGGAAGCCUGAUGCAGCAACGCCGCGUGCGGGAUGACGGCCUUCGGGUUGUAAACCGCUCUCGCAUGUGACGAAGCGUGAGUGACGGUAAUGGGUAAAGAAGCACCGGCUAAAUACGUG